rnacentral:lncRNA from 1 species
UGAUAGCUUGAGGUGAAAUGCAAUUUGAUGCUUGUGGUAUUUGGUGUUUCACUGACUUUGCAGGUCUAAGGUUGGUGAGCUGAUCAUCUACUCAGAGGAUAAGGAUACACAGUAUGGCAUCUUCUGAAGUUAGCCCUGACCAUGUACACUUCAAGCAAGACCCUCACCACACUACUGCCUACCCGCUGCCCCUAUUUGCCUGUGGACUGGAGAUCUCCCACUGGAAACUUUCAAAUUACCUUUAGUGUACUUGAGGAAAAAGAAGAGAAAGAAAAGAGAGAAUAUUAUAAGGUUGCAGGAUGGAGAACAAGGAAUUCAGAAGCUGCUGUCAGGAUUUGCCUCAGGACAAAAUGUUCUCCAGAGACCAACAUGUGAAUAAGUGUAUUUUGAUUUGAUGACCCUUCACCCCAUUCUUUCAACCAUUCUGUGCAAGAAUCCUUCACCCUUCACCCUAUUCUAUGCAAUGUUUACUAAUACUUGAUGAGGAAAUGUAAAAUUUCACUGAAAAGGCAAAUAGAGGAUCUAUUUUUUAAAAAUUUGGAUGAUGCAAAAAAUGAAUGCGAUUUGAGUAAUAGGCCCACGCCCCUAAGCUCUCAUUCUCAUGAGUUAAACCAGAAUCAAGUCUAGCUCAUGACAUGGUGCAAUGAACUCUGCCAUGCAUCCUAGAAUAAUAAAUGCUAUUG